CCCUUUCUCCUUGUCUCUUUCGUUUGCUCUCUGCCAACCCCGAACGGAUACCCACCAAUUGUCACCGCUAUUCAAGCACCGGACCAGGAAGACCAGACACCACCGAAACUCCAUCCCCGCGAGCCUUCUUCGUCGUUCUUCCCUGCGAGCAGAAGCCUCCAAGUUCGUAUGCCGCCGCCGUGGGUUCAAGGCCAAUUUCUUCCUUGCGAGCAGAAGCCUCCAAGAUGAACAAAGCCCAACCAAGGAUCGAGCUUUUAAGUGAUAGGAGGAGAUGAAAUGAGCUCACUGGCGUCCAUGGGUUUUCGAGGUUAUUUGACCUUGAUUCGCCAUCCACGAUGAACGGAGAGCCUCCCCAACAUGAUGAACGACGUCCAUGGCAAGAGCACUCGUGCCUCCAUUUAUCUUUUUCCACCAGUACCAGGUUGUGGGAAGGGCUCUCCCUACCUAGUGGGAUGAAGCUUUGGGCCACCAAUGAGGUCGGCGCCAAGUCCAAAUUCUGGGACAUUGUCAUCCAAAAAUCAUGAAAGCAUUACAAGAAUAGGCAGAAAGGCUCACCCUUAGCUCUCGAGCAUUCCAUAAUGAUAAAUUUCCAAUAUUUGCUGAGCAUCUAACAGAAAUGUUCGGAUAUGACAUGGUGCUUCCUAUGAACACUGGUGCUGAAGGUGUAGAAACAGCUCUGAAGUUGGCCAGGAAAUGGGGUUACGAGAAGAAGAAAAUUCUGAAAGAUAAGGCUAUCAUCGUAUCAUGCUGCAGAUGCUUCCAUGGUCGUACGUUAGGCAUCAUCUCAAUGAGCUGU